AACGAACGCUGGUGGCAUGCCUAAUACAUGCAAGUCGAACGAGAAAGCACUUCGGUGUGAGUAUAGUGGCGCACGGGUGAGUAACGCGUAGGUGAUAUGCCUAUUAGUGGGGGACAACAGUUGGAAACCGCUGCUAAUACCGCAUAAGCUUGGGAACUUGAAAAAACCAAGGAAAGGGGGCUUCGGCUCUCGCUGAUAGAUUGGCCUGCGUAGCAUUAGCUUGUUGGUGGGGUAAUGGCCUACCAAGGCGACGAUGCUUAACUGGUCUGAGAGGAUGAUCAGUCACACUGGAACUGAGACACGGUCCAGACUCCUACGGGAGGCAGCAGUAGGGAAUAUUGCGCAAUGGAGGAAACUCUGACGCAGCAAUGCCACGUGAGUGAGGAAGGUCUUCGGAUUGUAAAGCUCUGUCCUAUAGGAAGAACUGCCUUGUGGUUAAUACCCACUUGGUUUGACGGUACUAUAGAAGAAAGCACCGGCUAACUCCGUGCCAGCAGCCGCGGUAAUACGGAGGGUGCAAGCGUUGUUCGGAUUUACUGGGCGUAAAGCGCGCGCAGGCGGACUAGCAAGUCAGAUGUGAAAUCUCAGGGCUUAACCCCGAAACUGCGUCUGAAACUGUUAGUCUAGAGUCUCACAGGGGGUAGGGGAAUUUCACGUGUAGGGGUAAAAUCCGUAGAGAUGUGAAGGAACACCGGUGGCGAAGGCGCCUACCUGGAUGAGUACUGACGCUGAGGCGCGAAAGCGUGGGGAGCAAACAGGAUUAGAUACCCUGGUAGUCCACGCCGUAAACGAUGAGUACUAGCUAUUAGAGGUAUUGACUCCUUUAGUGGCGCAGCUAACGCAUUAAGUACUCCGCCUGGGAAGUACGGUCGCAAGACUAAAACUCAAAGGAAUUGACGGGGGCCCGCACAAGCGGUGGAUUAUGUGGUUUAAUUCGAAGCAACGCGCAGAACCUUACCUAGGCUUGAAAUCCCUCGAAUCCGACGUAAUUGUUGGAGUGCUCGCAAGAGAAUGAGGUGACAGGUGCUGCAUGGCUGUCGUCAGCUCGUGUUGUGAAAUGUUGGGUUAAGUCUCGCAACGAGCGCAACCCCUAUCUUUAGUUGCCAGCAUUAAGUUGGGCACUCUAGAGAGACUGCCCGGGUUAACCGGGAGGAAGGUGGGGAUGACGUCAAGUCCUCAUGGCCCUUAUGCCUAGGGCUACACACGUAAUACAAUGGUGCAUACAAAGGGAUGCGAUCCGGUGACGGUUAGCAAAUCUCAAAAAGUGUAUCUCAGUCCGGAUUGAAGUCUGCAACUCGACUUCAUGAAGUUGGAAUCGCUAGUAAUCGCGGAUCAGCACGCCGCGGUGAAUACGUUCCCGGGCCUU
rnacentral:rRNA from 1 species